rnacentral:rRNA from 1 species
UACGUAGGGGGGCAAGCGUUGUCCGGAUUUAUUGGGCGUAAAGAGCGUGUAGGCGGCUGGGUAGGUCCGUUGUGAAAACUCGAGCUCAACCUCGAGACGCCGAUGGAAACCCUCCAGCUAGAGUCCGGAAGAGGAGAGUGGAAUUCCUGGUGUAGCGGUGAAAUGCGCAGAUAUCAGGAAGAACACCCGUGGCUAAGGCGGCUCUCUAGUACGGUACUGACGCUGAGACGCGAAAAGCGUGGGGAGCGAACAGG